rnacentral:rRNA from 1 species
GACGUAGGAGGCGAGCGUUGUCCGGAUUCAUUGGGCGUAAAGAGCACGCAGGCGGUUCGAGAAGUCGGAUGUGAAAACUCGGAGCUCAACUCCGAGCGUGCAUCCGAAACUCUCGGACUAGAGGUAGGUAGGGGAGAUCGGAAUUCCUGGUGUAGCGGUGAAAUGCGUAGAUAUUGGGAGGAACACCAGAUGCGAAGGCGGGUCACUGGGCUGAUACUGACGCUGAAGUGCGAAAGCCAGGGGAGCGAACGGG